rnacentral:rRNA from 1 species
UACAGAGGUCCCCAGCGUUGUUCGGAUUCAUUGGGCGUAAAGGGUGCGUAGGUGGCGCCGUAAGUCGGGUGUGAAAUUUCGGAGCUUAACUCCGAAACUGCAUUCGAUACUGCGGUGCUUGAGGACUGGAGAGGAGACUGGAAUUUACGGUGUAGCGGUGAAAUGCGUAGAUAUCGUAAGGAAGACCAGUGGCGAAGGCGGGUCUCUGGACAGUUCCUGACGCUGAGGCACGAAGGUCAGGGGAGCAAACGGG